AUGAGAUGCUGUUUGACACCUGACGUGGGUGCAAAAAAGACAGUGGGAUUCAAUCCCGAGGAAGAAGCGCAGCAGCAGAGAUUGGUCAUCGCCAUUUUCACUGUUUUCCAAACUGAGUUAGUUGGAUGCAUGGAGACCUGAGGAUGUGAACUUUGGUGGAGAUUGAUUUGGUGCAGCCCUAGUAUACCAAAGCAUGGGUUUUUCUCUUGGUUAGCAAUGCGUGAUUGGCUUGCUACCAAAGACAGAUUUGAUCAAACGGCAUAUGCGAGUCGAUUCUAUUUGCUGUAUGUGCAAUGUGGGGCUGGAAGACAGACGCUUUUUUUGGUUGUUUCUGCUUCUAAAGGGAAAUCAUUUCCAUGUUUGUAUCUCAAGCUCUCAGGGAAUUGGAAUUCGUGUCACAUUUGGAUGACAACGAACAAAUGCUUUCAUGUUUCUUCUUUCAUUAAAAUACUGAUUUGAUUGUAUAGAAGAUAGUGUUAUCAUACCGAUCGAUAAUGUGAUCCCAC